rnacentral:tRNA from 1 species
GGAGGAUGGGCGGGACGGUAACGCGUUGGUUUCGAAAACCAAUGCCCUUUUGGGCUAACAGGUUCGACUCCUGUAUCCUCCGCCU